rnacentral:lncRNA from 1 species
GGUUCCGUGUCACCUGGGUUCUGUAUCACCUGGGUUCCGUGUCACCCAGGUUCCAUGUCACCCGGGUUCCGUGUCACCUGGGUUCCGUGUCACCUGAAUUCUGUGUCACCUGGGUUCCGUGUAACCUGGGUUCUGUAUCACCUGGGUUCCGUGUCACCUGGGUUCUGUGUCACCAGGGUUCCAUAUCACCCGGGUUCCGUGUCACCUGGGUUCCCAUGUCACCUGGGUUCUGUGCCAAAUGGGUUUUGUGUCGCCUGGGUUCCGUGUCACCCAGGUUCCAUUCACUGUGUCACCUGUGUUCCGUGUCACCUGGGUUCCGUGUCACCUGGGUUCCGUGUCACUGUCACCUGUGUUUUGUGUCACCUGGAUUCCGUGUCUCCUGGGUUCCAUGUCACUGUGCCAAAUGAGUUCCGGGUCACCCAGGUUCCGUGUCACCUGGGUUCCAUAUCACCUGGGUUCCAUGUCACCCAGGUUCUGUGUCACUGUGUCACCUGGGUUCUGUGCCAAAUGGGUUCCAUGUCACUGUGUCACCUGGGUUCUGUGCCAAAUGGGUUCCAUGUCACUGUGUCACCUGGGUUCUGUGUCACCUGGGUUCCACGUUACUCUGUCACCUGGGUUUCAUGUCACUCAGGUUCUGUGUCACUGGGCUCUGUGUCACCUGGAUUCUGUGUCACCUGGGCCCUGUGUCACCUGGGUUCCACGUCACCUGUGCUCUGUGCCAACUGGGUUCUGUGUCACCGCUGCUCCAUGUCACCUGGGUUCUGUGUCACUGUGUCACUUGGGUUCCAUGUAACCUGGGUUCUAUUUCACCCAGGUUCUGUGACAUACAGGCAUUGUGUCACCUGUGUUCCGUGUCACCUGGGCUCAAGUUUCCAUGUCACUGUGUCACCCAGGCUCCAUGUCACCUGGGUUCCAUGUCACUAUGACACCUGGCAGCUCCACGUCACAGAGUCACCUGCGUUCCACAUCACCUGGGCUCCACGUCACCUGGGUUCCAUGUCAGUUCCAUGUCACUGUGUCACCUAG